GACGAACGCUGGCGGCGUGCUUAACACAUGCAAGUCGAACGGAAAGGCCCUGCUUUUGUGGGGUGCUCGAGUGACGAACGGGUGAGUAACACGUGAGUAACCUGCCCUUGACUGUGGGAUAACUUCAGGAAACUGGGGCUAAUACCGGAUAGGAGCUCCUGCUGCAUGUUGGGGGUUGGAAAGUUUCGGCGGUUGGGGAUGGACUCGCGGCUUAUCAGCUUGUUGGUGGGGUAGUGGCUUACCAAGGCUUUGACGGGUAGCCGGCCUGAGAGGGUGACCGGCCACAUUGGGACUGAGAUACGGCCCAGACUCCUACGGGAGGCAGCAGUGGGGAAUAUUGCGCAAUGGGCGGAAGCCUGAUGCAGCAACGCCGCGUGCGGGAUGACGGGCUUCGGGUUGUAAACCGCUUUCGCCUGUGACGAAGCGUGAGUGACGGUAAUGGGUAAAGAAGCACCGGCUAACUACGUG
rnacentral:rRNA from 1 species